GUUUUAAUGAAAUACACUUCGAAUAAUAAAAACUAAGUAAACGUGUCUCCCAUACUUUAACCUUUUUGAAUUUGGUUCCUUUUCGCACACUAAAAUAUG